GGACUGUAGCUCAGUGGCAGAGCACUUGCCUAGCAUGUGUGAGGCACUGGGUUUGAUCCUCAGCACCA
rnacentral:tRNA from 1 species